rnacentral:rRNA from 4 species
GGUUAAGCGACUAAGCGUACACGGUGGAUGCCCUGGCAGUCAGAGGCGAUGAAGGACGUGCUAAUCUGCGAAAAGCGUCGGUAAGGUGAUAUGAACCGUUAUAACCGGCGAUGUCCGAAUGGGGAAACCCAGUGCAAUUCGUUGCACUAUCGUUAACUGAAUACAUAGGUUAACGAGGCGAACCGGGGGAACUGAAACAUCUAAGUACCCCGAGGAAAAGAAAUCAACCGAGAUUCCCCCAGUAGCGGCGAGCGAACGGGGAGCAGCCCAGAGUCUGAAUCAGCUUGUGUGUUAGUGGAACGGUCUGGAAAGUCCGACGGUACAGGGUGAUAGUCCCGUACACCAAAAUGCACAGGUUGUGAACUCGAAGAGUAGGGCGGGACACGUGGUAUCCUGUCUGAAUAUGGGGGGACCAUCCUCCAAGGCUAAAUACUCCUGACUGACCGAUAGUGAACCAGUACCGUGAGGGAAAGGCGAAAAGAACCCCGGCGAGGGGAGUGAAAAAGAACCUGAAACCGUGUACGUACAAGCAGUGGGAGCACCUUCGGGUGUGACUGCGUACCUUUUGUAUAAUGGGUCAGCGACUUAUAUUCUGUAGCAAGGUUAACCGUAUAGGGGAGCCGCAGGGAAACCGAGUCUUAACUGGGCGUUAAGUUGCAGGGUAUAGACCCGAAACCCGGUGAUCUAGCCAUGGGCAGGUUGAAGGUUGGGUAACACUAACUGGAGGACCGAACCGACUAAUGUUGAAAAAUUAGCGGAUGACUUGUGGCUGGGGGUGAAAGGCCAAUCAAACCGGGAGAUAGCUGGUUCUCCCCGAAAGCUAUUUAGGUAGCGCCUCGUGAAUUCAUCUUCGGGGGUAGAGCACUGUUUCGGCUAGGGGGUCAUCCCGACUUACCAACCCGAUGCAAACUACGAAUACCGAAGAAUGUUAUCACGGGAGACACACGGCGGGUGCUAACGUCCGUCGUGAAGAGGGAAACAACCCAGACCGCCAGCUAAGGUCCCAAAGUCAUGGUUAAGUGGGAAACGAUGUGGGAAGGCACAGACAGCCAGGAUGUUGGCUUAGAAGCAGCCAUCAUUUAAAGAAAGCGUAAUAGCUCACUGGUCGAGUCGGCCUGCGCGGAAGAUGUAACGGGGCUAAACCAUGCACCGAAGCUGCGGCAGCGACACUAUGUGUUGUUGGGUAGGGGAGCGUUCUGUAAGCCUGCGAAGGUGUGCUGUGAGGCAUGCUGGAGGUAUCAGAAGUGCGAAUGCUGACAUAAGUAACGAUAAAGCGGGUGAAAAGCCCGCUCGCCGGAAGACCAAGGGUUCCUGUCCAACGUUAAUCGGGGCAGGGUGAGUCGACCCCUAAGGCGAGGCCGAAAGGCGUAGUCGAUGGGAAACAGGUUAAUAUUCCUGUACUUGGUGUUACUGCGAAGGGGGGACGGAGAAGGCUAUGUUAGCCGGGCGACGGUUGUCCCGGUUUAAGCAUGUAGGCUGGUUAUCCAGGCAAAUCCGGAUAAUCAAGGCUGAGGUGUGAUGACGAGGCACUACGGUGCUGAAGUAACAAAUGCCCUGCUUCCAGGAAAAGCCUCUAAGCAUCAGGUAACAUCAAAUCGUACCCCAAACCGACACAGGUGGUCAGGUAGAGAAUACCAAGGCGCUUGAGAGAACUCGGGUGAAGGAACUAGGCAAAAUGGUGCCGUAACUUCGGGAGAAGGCACGCUGGUGUGUAGGUGAAGUCCCUGCGGAUGGAGCUGAGACCAGUCGAAGAUACCAGCUGGCUGCAACUGUUUAUUAAAAACACAGCACUGUGCAAACACGAAAGUGGACGUAUACGGUGUGACGCCUGCCCGGUGCCGGAAGGUUAAUUGAUGGGGUUAUCCGUAAGGAGAAGCUCUUGAUCGAAGCCCCGGUAAACGGCGGCCGUAACUAUAACGGUCCUAAGGUAGCGAAAUUCCUUGUCGGGUAAGUUCCGACCUGCACGAAUGGCGUAAUGAUGGCCAGGCUGUCUCCACCCGAGACUCAGUGAAAUUGAACUCGCUGUGAAGAUGCAGUGUACCCGCGGCAAGACGGAAAGACCCCGUGAACCUUUACUAUAGCUUGACACUGAACAUUGAGCCUUGAUGUGUAGGAUAGGUGGGAGGCUUUGAAGCGUGGACGCCAGUCUGCGUGGAGCCAACCUUGAAAUACCACCCUUUAAUGUUUGAUGUUCUAACGUUGGCCCCUUACCGGGGUUGCGGACAGUGUCUGGUGGGUAGUUUGACUGGGGCGGUCUCCUCCCAAAGCGUAACGGAGGAGCACGAAGGUUAGCUAAUCCUGGUCGGACAUCAGGAGGUUAGUGCAAUGGCAUAAGCUAGCUUGACUGCGAGCGUGACGGCGCGAGCAGGUGCGAAAGCAGGUCAUAGUGAUCCGGUGGUUCUGAAUGGAAGGGCCAUCGCUCAACGGAUAAAAGGUACUCCGGGGAUAACAGGCUGAUACCGCCCAAGAGUUCAUAUCGACGGCGGUGUUUGGCACCUCGAUGUCGGCUCAUCACAUCCUGGGGCUGAAGUAGGUCCCAAGGGUAUGGCUGUUCGCCAUUUAAAGUGGUACGCGAGCUGGGUUUAGAACGUCGUGAGACAGUUCGGUCCCUAUCUGCCGUGGGCGCUGGAGAAUUGAGGGGGGCUGCUCCUAGUACGAGAGGACCGGAGUGGACGCAUCACUGGUGUUCGGGUUGUCAUGCCAAUGGCACUGCCCGGUAGCUAAAUGCGGAAGAGAUAAGUGCUGAAAGCAUCUAAGCACGAAACUUGCCCCGAGAUGAGUUCUCCCUGAGACUUUAAGUCUCCUGAAGGAACGUUAAAGACGAUGACGUUGAUAGGCCGGGUGUGUAAGCGCAGCGAUGCGUUGAGCUAACCGGUACUAAUGAACCGUGAGGCUUAACCUU